AUCGUCGCACUCAUCCCUAGGAAGGACGGAGCGGAGUCCAUUGCUGAUUACAGACCGAUCAGUCUGAUUCAUUCAAUUGCGAAGCUGUUCUCCAAGGUUCUAUCAAUCCAGCUUGCUUCGGUGGUGCAGUCGAUCAUCUCGCCUGCCCAGACGGCUUUCCUGAAGACUAGAUGCUUGCACGACAUCUUUGUCUACGUCUAG
rnacentral:rRNA from 1 species